rnacentral:rRNA from 1 species
AUUGAACGCUGGCGGCAGGCCUAACACAUGCAAGUCGAGCGAGCGGCGGACGGGUGAGAAAUAUCUGGGAAACUGCCUGAUGGAGGGGGAUAACUACUGGAAACGGUAGCUAAUACCGCAUACCAUCAGAUGUGCCCAGAUGGGAUUAGCUAGUAGGUGUGGUAACGGCUCACCUAGGCGCCGAUCCCUAGCUGGUCUGAGAGGAUGACAAGCAACACGGGAAAGGAGACACGGGCCAGACGCCUACGGGAGGCAGCAGGGGGGAAUAUUGCACAAUGGGCGCAAGCCUGAUGCAGCCAUGCCGCGUGUGUGAAGAAGGCCUUCGGGUUGUAAAGCACUUUCAGCGGGGAGGCGUUACCCGCAGAAGAAGCACCGGCUAACUCCGUGCCAGCAGCCGCGGUAAUAC